rnacentral:rRNA from 1 species
UACGUAGGGUGCAAGCGUUGUCCGGGAUUAUUGGGCGUAAAGAGCUUGUAGGCGGUUUGUCGCGUCUGCUGUGAAAUUUCGGGGCUCAACCCCGAACUUGCAGUGGGUACGGGCAGACUAGAGUGUGGCAGGGGAGACUGGAAUUCCUGGUGUAGCGGUGAAAUGCGUAGAUAUCAGGAGGAACACCGAUGGCGAAGGCAGGUCUCUGGGCAUUAACUGACGCUGAGGAGCGAAAGCAUGGGGAGCGAACAGG